GCUUUCCUGAGGCUUAGUUGGUAGAACAUUGUGCUACCAAGACGAAGGUCGUGGGUUCAAAUCCCAGGGAAAGCA